AAAAGAUCAUCAGAAGCUUUGUAGCAACCAAUAUCAAAGAGAGGAUGGUAGUGGCAAUGAGAUUCUUGAUGAAAGUCCUCUUGCUGUUGGAGUCGAUCCUGCUUCAAAGAUUCAGUUGCUUGAGCAUGAACUUGCCAAGGCUAUGGAAGCAAAUUUAAAAUAUAAAGUUGAGCUUGACAGGUUGUCUAAAAGCCGAAACAACCAUGCACACUCCUAAAAAAUCAAUAGCAGAAGAUGACAUAGUGGCAAAAGAAAGUAAUGGACGCACAAAAUCAUCACUAGAGGCAGAGUUAAUAGACAUUCGCCAGCGAUACCUCCACAUGAGCCUCAGAUAUGCUGAGGUAGAAGCUGAGCGUGAGGAACUUGUGAUGAAGCUCAGGGCUAGCAAAAAUGUAAAAAGAUGGUUUUAAUGAACUCAUGACCAUAAACAAGCAAUUUCUUGUACUUUUUCAGUCUCCCCAAUUCAGGUAGCUUGUUCCACGAAUUUUUGAAGUAUCUACGAUUUCUCAAUCUUUUACGUAUAUUCCAGAGUGUGAGUUAUUGUAAAGAAGAAUAAUACACCCCUAGCCCAAGUUUGUAAAUGAAGGAACAAUUGAG